AAUAUUGGACAAUGGGGGCAACCCUGAUCCAGCCAUGCCGCGUGUGUGAAGAAGGUCUUCGGAUUGUAAAGCACUUUAAGUUGGGAGGAAGGGCUUUAGGUUAAUACCCUGAAGUUUUGACGUUACCAACAGAAUAAGCACCGGCUCACUCUGUGCCAGCAGCCGCGGUAAUACAGAGGGUGCAAGCGUUAAUCGGAAUUACUGGGCGUAAAGCGUGCGUAGGUGGUUUAGUAAGAUGUGUAGGGAAACCCCUGUCUUAACCUGGGAACUGCUUUCAUGACUGCUGAGCUAGAGUACGGUAGAGGGUAGAUGAAUUUCCUGUGUAGCGGUGAAAUGCGUAGAUAUAAGAAGGAACACCAGUGGCGAAGUCGACUACCUGGAUUGAUACUUACACUGAGGUGCUAAAGCGUGGGGAGCAA
rnacentral:rRNA from 1 species